rnacentral:tRNA from 1 species
GGAAGCGUGGCAGAGUGGCCUAUUGCAGCGAGCUUACCCCUCGCCGGACCUUUGGGCGUCCAUACCCCUCGCAGGGUCCCGUCAGUUCGAAUCUGACCGCUUCCA